GCUUAAGGGCAGAGGAGAGAUUCGCGCCGGAUCUCGUCAGAUCUCAUAAGCAAAGCAAGGUUGGGCCUGGUUAGUACUUGGAUGGGAGACAGCCUGGGAAUACCGGGUGCUGUAGGCU
rnacentral:rRNA from 1 species